AUGAAAUUUAAUUAAUUAAAUUAGUAUUUGACUUUUUAAUUUUUAAAGAGAUGAAUUACUUUACUCUUUAAAUUUUAUUUCUAAUGGCAUACAUAUGUAAUUACUUACAAAAAGUAAGGUUACAUUUAAAAUGUACUUCCCAAAUAAUAUAGUAGGAUCAUGGUAAAAUGUUAGUUCUCGAAAGAAAAAAUAUUGUUAUAAAUCAUAAACCUAACGAGCUAACUAAAAUAGCGGCAUCCUACCAAUUUGAGAUUUUUCGUAUAUAUA
rnacentral:sRNA from 1 species